rnacentral:rRNA from 1 species
AAAGGAAUAGACGGGGGCCCGCACAAGCAGCGGAGCAUGUGGUUUAAUUCGACGCAACGCGAAGAACCUUACCAGGUCUUGACAUCCUGCUAACGAAGUAGAGAUACAUUAGGUGCCCUUCGGGGAAAGCAGAGACAGGUGGUGCAUGGUUGUCGUCAGCUCGUGUCGUGAGAUGUUGGGUUAAGUCCCGCAACGAGCGCAACCCUUAUGAAUAGUUACUAACACGUAGUGGUGAGGACUCUAUUGAGACUGCCGGGGAUAACUCGGAGGAAGGUGGGGACGACGUCAAAUCAUCAUGCCCCUUAUGACCUGGGCUACACACGUGCUACAAUGGCAUCUACAAAGAGCAGCGAGGCCGUGAGGUUGAGCAAAUCUCAAAAAAGAUGUCCCAGUUCGGAUUGUGGGCUGCAACCCGCCCACAUGAAGUUGGAGUUGCUAGUAAUCGCGAAUCAGAAUGUCGCGGUGAAUACGUUCCCGGGCCUUGUACACACCGCCCGU